UACGGGGGGGGGCAAGCGUUGUUCGGAAUUACUGGGCGUAAAGGGCUCGUAGGCGGCCAACUAAGUCAGACGUGAAAUCCCUCGGCUUAACCGGGGAACUGCGUCUGAUACUGGUUGGCUUGAAUCCGGGAGAGGGAUGUGGAAUUCCAGGUGUAGCGGUGAAAUGCGUAGAUAUCUGGAGGAACACCGGUGGCGAAGGCGACAUCCUGGACCGGUAUUGACGCUGAGGCGCGAAAGCCAGGGGAGCAAACGGG
rnacentral:rRNA from 1 species